rnacentral:rRNA from 1 species
UAUGUUUAUUAGACCCGAUACUGAUACGAGCUUGUUAUAAACAGGUAUGUAUUAGCAUGACCAAACAGAUGUCUGUAGCAAAAGACUCUGAAGAUUUAUAACAAGGGGUGAAAGGCCAAUCAAGUUCAGUGAUAGCUGGUUUUCUGCCAAAGAUAUUUAGGUAUCGCGUUUUAUAUCGACAAUAUAUUGUAAGUCCUAAAGACUGAAGGUAUAUUGAUCUUGUAUAACAGACAGACCUUUAGCGGGAAGGUCAAAGGUCGAAAGGGAAAGAGCCCAGAAGUGUAGCUAAAGUCCCUAAAUUCAUU